rnacentral:rRNA from 1 species
AGAGUACCCGGAGAAAAAGCAUCGGCUAACUCCGUGCCAGCAGCCGCGGUAAUACGGAGGAUGCGAGCGUUAUCCGGAUUUAUUGGGUUUAAAGGGUGCGUAGGCGGGUUGUUAAGUCAGCGGUCAAAUGUCGGGGCUCAACCCCGGCCUGCCGUUGAAACUGGCGGCCUCGAGUGGGCGAGAAGUAUGCGGAAUGCGUGGUGUAGCGGUGAAAUGCAUAGAUAUCACGCAGAACUCCGAUUGCGAAGGCAGCUUACUAAACUAUAACUGACACUGAAGCACGAAAGCGUGGGGAUCAAACAG